AUUGAACGCUGGCGGCAGGCUUAACACAUGCAAGUCGAGUGAGUGGCGGACGGGUGAGUAAUGCGUGGGAAUCUGGCUUAUGGAGGGGGAUAACGACGGGAAACUGUCGCUAAUACCGCGUACCAUAGGAUGAGCCCAAGUGGGAUUAGGUAGUAGGUGGGGUAAUGGCACACCAAGCCGACGAUCUCUAGCUGGUCUGAGAGGAUGACCGGCCACACCGGGACUGAGACACGGCCCGUACUCCUACGGGAGGCAGCAGUGGGGAAUAUUGCGCAAUGGGAGCAACCUGAGGCAGCCAUGCCGCGUGAAUGAAGAAGGCCUUCGGGUUGUAAAGUACUUUCGGUGACGAGGCGUUAAUCACAGAAGAAGCACCGGCUAACUCCGUGCCAGCAGCCGCGGUAAUAC
rnacentral:rRNA from 1 species